AAUCCAGAGAUGGAUUUGUGCCUUCGGGAACUGUGAGACAGGUGCUGCAUGGCUGUCGUCAGCUCGUGUUGUGAAAUGUUGGGUUAAGUCCCGCAACGAGCGCAACCCUUAUCCUUUGUUGCCAGCGGUUAGGCCGGGAACUCAAAGGAGACUGCCAGUGAUAAACUGGAGGAAGGUGGGGAUGACGUCAAGUCAUCAUGGCCCUUACGACCAGGGCUACACACGUGCUACAAUGGCGCAUACAAAGAGAAGCGACCUCGCGAGAGCAAGCGGACCUCAUAAAGUGCGUCGUAGUCCGGAUUGGAGUCUGCAACUCGACUCCAUGAAGUCGGAAUCGCUAGUAAUCGUGGAUCAGAAUGCCACGGUGAAUACGUUCCCGGGCCUUGUACAC
rnacentral:rRNA from 1 species